ACUGCUUUAAGUGCAGUGUGCCUAAUACUGUCCUCACCCACACUCUGUCUGGCUUCACUGAUGCUCAGCCCAACUUACACCCAGAUUUGCAUGCCAAAAAUUAUACUUACCGCGAAAAAUCCCACAAAGUAAUUGGAAAGUGUUGCUGGGAAGCACUGCUGGAUGGUUCUGUUUUGCAGACACAUUUUUCUACAGCCACUGGGUGGUGCUACAGAAAGGGCUGCUCCGCUUUCUAAAGCAAAGCAGGUUUCGUCUCUCAAGGAACGCUAUCCAGGGACAUCACGUUAGAUAAAGCGAUGAUGAGAAGCACCCUUCUUCCUUUCAAUUCUCCAACACAAGCAUUGCCUUUGCAUUGUCCAAGUUGAAAUGUUAGAAAUCCAGCUAUCUCAUUUCUCCAUUAAAUGCCAGUUUAAAUCACUUCUAUCUGUCAGGUAUUUGAUCUUCCCAUUGCCAGUGGGGCUGAAUGUUGCAGGGGCACCCCAGGAGAACCCUCCUGUCUUAACAUGAACAUGUCCCAUGCCACCAUUUGCUUGCUUUCCCCAAUGAUCCAGUACCAGUGUUUGUUUUUCUUUGGCAGCAUUGCUUGCAGAAAGCUUUUGGAUUGCGCACGCAAAAAGAGCUCUCGGUCCUAAGGGGGAAAGCCUACAGCAAAGCUGAUGCAUCUGCCCACAGUGGGAAGGGAGCAGAAGCGGGUAGAAUUCGGGUGGCAUCGUGCUGAUGGGGGAUGAGUGUGCAGGGAGGUCCAUCACUUCCAGAGGUUUUGCAGAAGCAUCUGUUGAUUCCAAGCAGUUGAAAUGGUGUAGGAAAUCUUUGUAGGCUUCAGUACCAGAAAAGCCUCCUGUGCAUGGAGCCCUCACAGAGAUUAGUGCAAGCUGAGGUAAAGUGAGAAGGAUCUGGCCUUGCUAAAGCAAUGGGAAGUAUGCAGAGGUCACAUUGCUCCUCUGAUUAAAAUCGGAUGCUUUUUUCAUCUUGGUAACAGGCUUUUAAGAAUGUUCUUUAGAAAUAAGUGUCCUAUUCCAUUAAAAAUAAAUCUGUUUCUUUCUUAUAACACAAUUAAUGUCAGCAAAGCAUUCUGCAGAUCCGAGGAGAUUUAUUUUUGUAUAACUCUUGGGAGGCAGGAAAGAGUAUUCCAGUUCUGCAGGAGAGAUAAGGAGACACAAGCUUAAAAGUGUUCUUAGGCACUGGGCCAAGUUUUCUGAUUCACCAUGGCUGAUGGAGGACAGAGAGGAAUCUCUCCAAGUAUCUAUAGACGUGUUGAGGAAGGUAGCUCUUCCCUUCUACCAGCAUUUGUUAGAAUGCCAUGUGCUUUGAAUUGAUGUAGAAGAGCUGGUGGCAUCUAUAUGUUGCUUUGAUUCUUCCUGUAGGAUUCUUGCAGUAGGUCUCUUAAGACUUGUGUUGUCUUAGAAUCACAGAAUCAUUAAGGUUGGAAAAGAUCUCGGAGAUCAUCUAGUCCAGCCACCAACCUACCACCACCUUGCCCACUAACCAUGGCUCUCAGUGCCACAUCCACACGGUUGUGGAACACCUCCAGGGACAGUGAGUGCACCACCUCCCUGGGCAGCCUGUGCCAACACAUCACCACCCUUUCUGAGAAGAAUUUUUUCCUAAUACCCAAUCUGAGCCAAACUGUGGCCAUUACCUCUCAUCUUGGGGUUGUUCACUGUGACUGUCAGUGCGCUAGCCAAUGUGUUGGAGAAGGGUACUGUGUGGAGCAGCUAGCACCAUAUAAAAACUGCUGGUAUCUUAGCAGAGCAAGCAUGGUUCUUCCCCACCCUGAGGGCCCAGCCCAGCCCUGUGCCUGCCCUGCUGUAGGCUCAGUGGUAGGGAUGGUGCUGGACUCACUGCUGCUGCCCUCCUGGGCACCAAGACGUGGAAGGUGGCAUCCCCUGUUCGCCAUGGGGAUUUUGACAUUUGCUAUUCCGUUUAUACUGCCUUAGAAGCACAAAGGAUGCACAGGGAGCAAUGAAACCUCCCCCCUCACAAUUCCCUAGUCAGCAUAAUGAAAUUUUCAUGCGUAAUGAGUCUUUGAUCAUGUUUGUCACUUAGCCAAUUUGCUAUUGAUUUAAAGAGCUCUCUCUGCUAGAAAAUAGGCAUGAAGGAUGUGAUUUUAAAAAGAUCUAAUGGAAGAUUAUAUUAGAUCCUUGGGCAUCUAUGCAUGAACAGAAUCAUUUUCCAUUUAACUGUGCUCUGUGCUUUGCUGCCCCAGAUUUCUGGGUAUGUCCUUUCCUGUGGAAAUCGUUUGUAUCAUUGGUACACGUCCUAAAGUUGUAACAUUCUGUUUUCAUCUUUGUAAUUGCUUACCAUAAAAUGAUUACGCUGCCAUUAAUGGCCUUUAUUAUUUGACCUAAUUUUAUUUACAAGUCAUAGACAACACUGUUCUCCAAAGCCAGGAAACGGCUGCAGACAAAUGAAAAGUAAACAAAAUAAAACCAAAGGAAGCUGGCAGCCCCUGUGCUGAGUGUAUUUUCUAAUUUAGUAUUGUCUCGACUUUAACAAAAUAAUUAUCAGUGAAGAAAAAAACGUGGGCAGAAUUACAGCUACGAAGGGCAGCCAUGAUGCAGGCCCGGUGCUGAAUUCCAGUAUUUCAGUGGGAAUUUUGAGGAACGAAAGGACAGGGAGGUGGUUUCUCGGAGUUCCUAGCAUGGAGAUGGUGGUGAGGGGAGCAGUUCUGUGCUGCCAUCUGAAACACCCCAAGGAGGAGGAAAGGCUGUGCCUGGAGAAGGCACACACAUGAACCGGAAAGCGAUAUGCGUUAUCAACUCAAUACAACGGAUGCUGUUCUUUCUGAAGGCAUGGUAUGCAUCCACCAUAACACAGCAGACGAUGUGGUUUAGGUGCUGUGGGGUUGAUUUUCAGCAACAGGGCAUUUGCUGCCAUUAUCCCAGUCUUUGGGAAAGCUUGUUUGGAUGAGUGCAUCCGAAGGCACUAUCAUCCAAAAACUGAUUGAUGCUGCAUUUAGCGUAACAUCUUAUGCUUAAGUUUCUUCAAUCUAAAAUAUAUAUAUACAUUUGAUAGAGAAAAAGAAAUCUAUCUAUUUUUACUUCCCACAUUGUUAGAAUAGCCUUACCCUUGCGUUUCCAAGAAAACCAUUUGUGUGUCUAAGAAGUGUGAAAAGAUCUACAAUCCAGACACAGACCCACAGACCUCAACAUCAGAACAAACAUCUUGUGCAAAACAUGCAUUUGGUUUUCCUCAUCGCAGGCACAGAGCAACGAACACCACACAGAAGCCACAUCUGAAGCUAAAACGCCGCUCCUCGUAGGAUCUGCUGGGUGGCGAUCAGACGGGGCAGGAAAUCCCAAAGUCCUGGAGGGAUGUAUCUGCCCCAUCUCAUCCAUGAGUCAUCCAGGACGAAGAGGUCAAAACAGCAAAAGUUCAUGGCUCUCCAUUAUGUUCCUGUACAAAUGUCUCUGGGUGAAGGCUCCAAUGGCGUGGGCUGGGGACCGGUUGCAGGAUGCCCUCAAGUUGAGGAGUGCCUCGGUUGCAUUUUGGUUACUGCUUCCCCCUUCACCGCUUCAGCUGCCUCCUGGCCACACGUCUCCACCCUUUUCCGCCACAACCCACAGGCACCGCUGUGGUCUGAGCUUGGGGUUGCAGUACUGACAAGCAAGGCUGAGAUGGUUUACUCGCUUCACCGCCCGCACUGCUGCUUUGGGGAGGUUGGUGAAAGAAGCACUGUGAAAUGAUUCUGGGGGGAAAACUGCUUAUGGUGAUGCUUUGGAGAAUCCAUGUGCUGUAAGAGAUGCUGAUGUCAUCCCACAUGCAAGAUCAGGCUGCGGGCACAAUGACCCUAGCUGAGAUCCAGCAGUGCACACGUGGCCUGAUGUGCUGAUGGUUGAGGUGACGCAGCCAGCUUAUUUCUCAAAGAAUAGGCAAAAAAAACCCAGCUGUGGCGGAAGGGAGGCAACCGAGGGCAAGGAGGGGAAGUGAUGAGAGGAGGGCAGCAUGCUGUUGAGUGACUUAGUGACUUUUGUCACUUCUUUUUUUUGCACUUUUCAUUGGUGACAUGUGCAAUCCAGCAACCCCAGCCCACCUUCCUGCCAACAGUGCUAAAAGCUGUAAUGUUGGACUUCCUUAUAACAGCCCGCUGAUGUGGGUGGACUUUAAUGCUGAAAGGAUUUAUGUUCAGGGGGUGGAAGGGAAGCCUUUACCAUUUAUUUAACAGAAGUAAUAUGUAAAUAACACAAUAAACACUUAUACC
ensembl:lncRNA